CCUCGAAUAGCUCAGCUGGAAGAGCGCAUGACUGUAACGGUACAAAUCAGAGUAUCAUGAGGCCCGCGGUUCGAUCCCGCGUUCGAGGA
rnacentral:tRNA from 1 species